UACGAAGGGGGCUAGCGUUGCUCGGAAUCACUGGGCGUAAAGGGCGCGUAGGCGGACUCUUAAGUCGGGGGUGAAAGCCCAGGGCUCAACCCUGGAAUUGCCUUCGAUACUGAGAGUCUUGAGUUCGGAAGAGGUUGGUGGAACUGCGAGUGUAGAGGUGAAAUUCGUAGAUAUUCGCAAGAACACCAGUGGCGAAGGCGGCCAACUGGUCCGAUACUGACGCUGAGGCGCGAAAGCAUGGGGAGCAAACAGG
rnacentral:rRNA from 1 species